rnacentral:ncRNA from 1 species
GAUAGCUUAGAAGUGUGAGGUUGCCGCAUAAGCGGGUAAUUCACAUGGAGCGAAUGUCAUGUUCAAGAAACUGGCGGCAA